UCGGGAAUUUUGGGCAAUGGGCGAAAGCCUGACCCAGCAACGCCGCGUGAGGGAUGAAGUAUUUCGGUAUGUAAACCUCGAAAGAAUGGGAAGAAUAAAUGACGGUACCAUUUAUAAGCUCCGGCUAACUACGUGCCAGCAGCCGCGGUAAUACGUAGGGAGCAAGCGUAGUUCGGAUUUACUGGGCGUAAAGGGCGCGUAGGCGGCGCGGUAAGUCACUUGUGGAAUCUCUGAGCUUAACUCAGAACGGCCAAGUGAUACUGCUGUGCUAGAGUGCGGAAGAGGCAACCGGAAUUCUUGGUGUAGCGGUGAAAUGCGUAGAUAUCAAGAGGAACACCUGAGGCGAAGGCGGGUUGCUGGGCCGACACUGACGCUGAUGCGCGAAAGCCAGGGGAGCAAACG
rnacentral:rRNA from 1 species